rnacentral:rRNA from 1 species
UAGGGAAUAUUGGGCAAUGGAGGAAACUCUGACCCAGUGACGCCGCGUGGAGGACGAAGGUCUUCGGAUUGUAAACUUCUGAUCUGUGGAAAAAAUUAAUGAUGGUACCACAGGAGAAAGCCACGGCAAACUACGUGCCAGCAGCCGCGGUAAUACGUAGGUGGCAAGCAUUGUCCGGAAUAACUGGGCGUAAAGCGAGUGUAGGUGGUGAAGUAAGUUAAAUGUGAAAUACCGGGGCUCAACUCCGGAACUGCAUUUAAUACUGCUUCACUAGAGUGCAGGAGGGGUAAGAGGAAUUCCUAGUGUAGAGGUAAAAUUCGUAGAUAUUAGGAGGAACACCAGAGGCGAAGGCGUCUUACUGGACUGUAACUGACACUGAGGCUCGAAAGCGUGGGGAGCAAACA